UGGGGAAUAUUGGACAAUGGGCGAAAGCCUGAUCCAGCCAUGCCGCGUGUGUGAAGAAGGUCUUCGGAUUGUAAAGCACUUUAAGUUGGGAGGAAGGGCAGUAAGCGAAUACCUUGCUGUUUUGACGUUACCGACAGAAUAAGCACCGGCUAACUCUGUGCCAGCAGCCGCGGUAAUACAGAGGGUGCAAGCGUUAGUCGGAAUUACUGGGCGUAAAGCGCGCGUAGGUGGUUCGUUAAGUUGAAUGUGAAAGCCCCGGGCUCAACCUGGGAACUGCAUCCAAAACUGGCGAGCUAGAGUAGGGCAGAGGAUGGUGGAAUUUCCUGUGUAGCGGUGAAAUGCGUAGAUAUAGGAAGGAACACCAGUGGCGAAGGCGACCACCUGGGCUCAUACUGACACUGAGGUGCGAAAGCGUGGGGAGCAAACAGG
rnacentral:rRNA from 1 species